rnacentral:rRNA from 1 species
UACGUAGGGGGCUAGCGUUGUCCGGAAUCAUUGGGCGUAAAGAGCGCGUAGGCGGCCAGAUAAGUCCGGUGUGAAAGUCACAGGCUCAACCUGUGAAUGCCGCUGGAAACUGUCUGGCUAGAGUCCGGGAGGGGCGAGUGGAAUUCCUGGUGUAGCGGUGAAAUGCGCAGAUAUCAGGAGGAACACCAAUGGCGAAGGCAGCUCGCUGGAACGGUACUGACGCUGAGACGCGAAAGCGUGGGGAGCGAACAGG